UACGGAGGGUGCAAGCGUUGCUCGGAUUCAUUGGGCGUAAAGGGUGCGUAGACGGUAGCGUAAGUCAGCUGGGAAAGCCCCGGGCUCAACCUGGGAAUUGCAUUUGAGACUGCUCUGCUCGGGUGCGGAAGAGGGAAGCGGAAUUUCCGGUGUAGCGGUGAAAUGCGUAGAUAUCGGAAGGAACACCAGUGGCGAAAGCGGCUUCCUGGUCCGACACCGACGUUCAGGCACGAAAGCGUGGGGAGCAAACAGG
rnacentral:rRNA from 1 species